GCAGGGUGGUGCAGUGGUCAGCACACUGGACUCACAUUUCGGAGGACGAUGGUUCAAACCCAUCUCCGACCA